rnacentral:tRNA from 1 species
GGAUUGUGGCUCAGUGGUUGAGCGCUUGCCUUGCACAUGAGAGACCGUGGGUUCGAUCCUCAGCACCA